rnacentral:rRNA from 1 species
AGUGAACGCUGGCGGUAGGCCUAACACAUGCAAGUCGAACGGCAGCACAGUAAGAGCUUGCUCUUACGGGUGGCGAGUGGCGGACGGGUGCGGAAUACAUCGGAAUCUACUUUUUCGUGGGGGAUAACGUAGGGACACUUACGCUAAUACCGCAUACGACCUACGGGUGAAAGCAGGGGAUCUUCGGACCUUGCGCGAUCGAAUGAGCCGAUGUCGGAUUAGCUAGUUGGCGGGGUAAAGGCCCACCAAGGCGACGAUCCGUAGCUGGUCUGAGAGGAUGAUCAGCCACACUGGAACUGAGACACGGUCCAGACUCCUACGGGAGGCAGCAGUGGGGAAUAUUGGACAAUGGGCGCAAGCCUGAUCCAGCCAUACCGCGUGGGUGAAGAAGGCCUUCGGGUUGUAAAGCCCUUUUGUUGGGAAAGAAAAGCAGCAGGUUAAUACCCCGCUGUUCUGACGGUACCCAAAGAAUAAGCACCGGCUAACUUCGUG